GCAAUCAGUCAGCCCCGAGAACUGUUAGCGACCGAGACGCAGCUCUAGGUGAUUUCCACUACCUUCCUACCCCCACUCUAGGCGUUCUUUUGGAGGCAGCAAGAGCGGUGGCAGGAUGUGAGGCGAGCCUGGAGCGUACUUUCCAGCGCUGCUCCCUCUUCGGAGCUAGGGAGGACCGUGUAGGUUUUUGCGCACAGGCUGGAGAGGGUUCCUGGGAAAGCCUGAAGCCUGGAACAGGCGGGAGAGAGGUGAGCAGUCACAGUUCGCACCUGAAGCCUACGCUGCAGUCUGGGUAGUAGGGCUGUUGCCCUUGAGGCGUACGUGCUUCUUGAGGAGAGAGAGAGUCACAGGCUGAGACACCUGCAUCCCUCGGUGUACCAUUUGGCCAAGAUAAGGUGCUGCUGGAGCACAGCUGCUCCGAAGCAAAGUCGCAAAGGAAGAGGCUGAGAGGCAGGCGACUUAGGAAGAGUCUGGUCACGGAGCCGAGAGGCGGCACCUGACGAUCUAGCAAAGGGAAGAGUAAUUUAGGAACCUUUUUUAUCCUCCCUGUCCAGCUCCCCCUAAAGUCUACAAAAACUCUGUUGAACUCUAGAAAUCUUGCUUGGAUUAGGAGAAUUUUCCUAGCACCCUCCUUGGCUAGGACAGGGAGUGGAGAAAACAGGCGGGGCUGCUCUGUCCACUGCUCCGGAAGACACCCUUUCCUCCAAGCCACCUCCAGCUCUGAUCGCCCUUGGGGAGCCUCCCCUUUCGCCCAGCAAGCUCAAGCCCACACUCCUUGGAACCCAGCUCUUCCUCUCGCCCUGGACCUAUUGUCCCAGACAUGGAACUGCAUGCGUGAGCCCUGCCGGACAUCGCCUGCUGUUGUGGAAGACUCAGACAGCUGCCAAGGAAAGUGAAUGAUGAAGCCACCAUUUCUUUUGGCCCUUGUGGUCUGUUCUGUAGUCAGCACAAAUUUGAGGAUGGUGUCAAAGAGAAAUUCUGGUAAGUUGCUGGCAAACUCCACUUAGUCAAAAAUGUGUAGUUUUUGUGAGAAUCCAGAGAGCAUUUG
rnacentral:lncRNA from 1 species